rnacentral:rRNA from 1 species
UACAGAGGGGGCAAGCGUUGUUCGGAAUUACUGGGCGUAAAGGGCGCGUAGGCGGCCUGCUAAGUCGAACGUGAAAUCCCCGGGCUCAACCCGGGAACUGCGUCCGAUACUGGUUGGCUUGAAUCCGGGAGAGGGAUGCGGAAUUCCAGGUGUAGCGGUGAGAUGCGUAGAUAUCUGGAGGAACACCGGUGGCGAAGGCGGCAUCCUGGACCGGCAUUGACGCUGAGGCGCGAAAGCGUGGGGAGCAAACAGG